rnacentral:rRNA from 1 species
UACGAAGGGGGCUAGCGUUGCUCGGAAUUACUGGGCGUAAAGGGCGCGUAGGCGGGUGUUUAAGUCAGAGGUCAAAUCCCAGGGCUCAACCCUGGAACUGCCUUUGAUACUGGGCACCUAGAGUUCGGGAGAGGUGUGUGGAACUCCGAGUGUAGAGGUGAAAUUCGUAGAUAUUCAGAAGAACACCAGUGGCGAAGGCGACACACUGGCCCGAUACUGACGCUGAGGCGCGAAAGCGUGGGGAGCAAACAGG